rnacentral:rRNA from 1 species
GAUGAACGCUAGCGGCAGGCUUAAUACAUGCAAGUCGAGGGGGCAGCAAUGUCACCGGCGAACGGGUGCGUAACACGUAUGCAACCUACCUAUAUCAGGGGGAUAGCCCGAGGAAACUCGGAUUAAUACCGCAUAACAUUAGAAUCGGCAUCGAUUUUAAUUGAAAGAUUUAUUGGAUAUAGAUGGGCAUGCGUAGGAUUAGCUAGUUGGUAAGGUAAGGGCUUACCAAGGCUACGAUCCUUAGGGGCUCUGAGAGGAGUAUCCCCCACACUGGCACUGAGAUACGGGCCAGACUCCUACGGGAGGCAGCAGUAGGGAAUAUUGGGCAAUGGGCGAAAGCCUGACCCAGCCAUGCCGCGUGCAGGAAGACGGCCCUCUGGGUUGUAAACUGCUUUUGAGUGGGAGGAAAGGUAUGCUUGCGAGCGUAAUUGACGGUACCAUUAGAAUAAGCCACGGCUAACUACGUGCCAGCAGCCGCCGCCG